AAGACCUGUAUCUACAGUUGCUAACGAGUUCUUUGGAAUGAUCGAGCACACUGUAGAGACUGCUCCGGAAACGGAGAGGAAGGUGCAGGCAACGGUAGGUCCGUAUGCUCCGAAUCUUCUGGGCUACACGCGCAUUACAAUGGCAAGGACAAUGGGCUACAACUCCGAAAGGAGAAGUUAAUCCUCGAAACCUUGUCUUAGUCCGGAUUGAGGGUUGCAACUCACCCUCAUGAAGCUGGAAUCUCUAGUAAUCUGGUCUCAACAUGGCCAGGUGAAUAC
rnacentral:rRNA from 1 species